rnacentral:rRNA from 1 species
GCCAACGAUCUGUAGCUGGUCUGAGAGGACGACCAGCCACACUGGAACUGAGACACGGUCCAGACUCCUACGGGAGGCAGCAGUGGGGAAUUUUGGACAAUGGGCGCAAGCCUGAUCCAGCAAUGCCGCGUGCAGGAAGAAGGCCUUCGGGUUGUAAACUGCUUUUGUACGGAGCGAAACGGUCUGAGUUAAUACCUCGGGCUAAUGACGGUACCGUAAGAAUAAGCACCGGCUAACUACGUGCCAGCAGCCGCGGUAAUACGUAGGGUGCAAGCGUUAAUCGGAAUUACUGGGCGUAAAGCGUGCGCAGGCGGUGAUGUAAGACAGUCGUGAAAUCCCCGGGCUCAACCUGGGAAUUGCGAUUGUGACUGCAUUGCUGGAGUGCGGCAGAGGGGGAUGGAAUUCCGCGUGUAGCAGUGAAAUGCGUAGAUAUGCGGAGGAACACCGAUGGCGAAGGCAAUCCCCUGGGCCUGCACUGACGCUCAUGCACGAAAGCGUGGGGAGCAAACAGGAUUAGAUACCCU